rnacentral:lncRNA from 10 species
GCGCCCUCACCCUGGCGGGAGGUGGAUCCCCAGCGCGGUGCAGUUACAUCGCAGACAUGGGCUCGUCUAUACGCUGCUGGACGGCCGGGGUUAUUAGCUGCGUCACCACGUGUUGAGACGCGCGAAGGGCUCUGUUACCUCUUCAUGGUUUGAAUUGUUACGUCACCCUGGCGUUCUUGAACAAAGAAUUGGACAAAACACACAAAGCAAGGAAAGAAGGAAGCAACAAAAGCAGAGAUUUGUUGAAAAUGAAAGUACACCCACAAGGUGGGAGCAGCCCAUGAGGCUGAAGGGCCCGGUGACACAAUUUUCUGGGAUUUAAAUACCCUGUAGAGGUUUCCCAUUGGUUACUUGGUGUACACCUUGUGUAAAUGAAGUAGUGGACCAUAAUCAGUCUGAUUGGUUGCAGGAGAGGACCAACCAGAGGCUGAAGCGAAGUUAUAAAGCUAUACCCUAUGCAAACAUCUGAUUAGUUGCAGAAAGCAACCAAUCAGAGGCUGAAGUUACAAAGUUAUACUCCCAUGCAAAUGAAGUCUUGACCUGUGAACAGCCUCAUUGGCUGUGGGAGGGGACCAAUCAAAGGUACUUAGAGUUUAUCUGCCACGUGGAAAAAGGGGGGUUGCAGAGGGAGUAGCCUCUGGUCCUUUUGUUACUUGGAUGUGGAAAGUUGGGGUUUUCCUUUUGAUUUAGUUCUAGGAAGUCAGCGUGAAUUGGGCUUAGGUUUACUGCCUCCAGACCCUAUUCUCCUGCCUCAGAAUGGUCUCAGUUUUGAUCAGCUGAGUCAAAUGAAAAUGAAGUCCUGAGACUAACGCAAUCAUUUGCAGCUGGAUCCAGUUUAGGAAGGAGGUGAGCAGGCUGAGGCACAGAGAAACUGACCUGCCUAAGCCACGUAGCUCUGUUGAUUCUUGGCCUGAUAUUCCCCCAACUUACUACAACCAACACAGAAUUACAGUAGACCGCCAUUGCCCUGCCAUGGGUAAGACCUCAUUGAUGGGGACACGAUCAGUUCUUCGUGAACCAUUACUGUUGAAGCCACCAUUCAUCAUUUCCAGCUGGUUUUCAAAAAGGUAGAAUAAAGUUUUAUGCGAAGAAAUCAGUUUUCAUUGUGAGAGCUACCCAAGCUAACUCAUUUUGGGACUCCGAAUAAGAGUAGAUAUUAAAAACACAAAGCAGAACAACUGCCCGGGAAAAUGCUCUAUGAAGGUAAGGUCUUCUUUCGAAUAUAAACAGUUCUGCAACCUAAAGGCUGUCAAAACUAGCCACUUUGGUAGGGAGAAAAAAAAAUCAUACAUGUGAGUCUAAGAGGUGGAGGUGAGAAUAAGCCUCCUGGGUCAGCAUCUUCUCCACUAUGGCCACUGAAAAUUAUUCAUAUUUGAGACUAUCUUAAGUGGCUACAGUGGUCAGAGAAUAUGACAUUACUAAGAAACAGAAGGGCACCUAAUUUGUAGAAUCAAAGCGGAUCCAGCUAUACUCACACAAAAUGCAGUCAAAUUAUUAGAGUGUAUCACUCAAAAGAUGCAGAAAGGCAGACUGAGGAAUUAAAACUCAGCAAGGAUCUCCUGUGCUUUACUGUGCUUUUCUAUGAAUGUCACUGGUAAGAUGGAAUCCCUUGGAUAGACCCCGCUCCAGGCCGGCAGGAUUCUGACUUUGUAGGGCUUUUCAUGUCCAACCCCAGCCAGUCUCUUUACAGUCUUGUGUAUAACAUACAAAAGACAUAUGCUGUGGAGGUUUUAAGUACUUAGAAAAGUAUGAAAACAGAAUUUGUGCCUAUGUCUGUAUAUUGUCGCAUUCUGGGGAGUGCCAGCUUGAUCAGGACUAAGGGUCAGGAUAAUACCAAAAGUUUAUGGUUUACUGUCAUCUGCAUCAACUGUCAUUUCCCCAAAAGAUGUUUCUGGUUCCCUUUACAAACGUCCAGCUGUGGUAGGAGGCUGAGCAUGAAGACUUAGGGACAAAGCAACUCAAACGAAAAGCAUUAUGAGAGGUAGGGUUUGGUCAGCAAAGGCCCCAUAAAGCAGGGUGUGGUCACUUCCUUUCUCAGAGGUCACUGUCCCCCACCUGGGUCAAGGACUAGACCUUCAAGAACUAGACCACAACCUCUGGGUCUUAAGUGAAAGGAAGGAGACCAGCUUUUCUGUCUACAGAUGUAUAGCCUCUGAUGGGGCCACCUGGGGAGGCUGGGCCAGGAGCCCAGAUGUACUGCCGCAUGAUACACCAAAAAAGGAUGCACCCAGGCUUAGCUGCAGAAAGGUGAGAGAAAGGAGCAAAAAACUAAAAUCUUAAAUAUUCAUGUUUGUUUUAAAACAAUUUUCGACACCAAUAUGUAUUAAGAAAACACAAGUUCAAAGUUGAAUUCAAAAUCCCCUACAUGGCUGGGCGCAGUGGCUCAUGCCUGUAAUCUCAGCACUUUGGGAGGCCGAGGCAGGCGGAUCAAUUGAGUCCAAGAGUUUGAGACCAGCCUGGCCAACAUGGCGAAACCCUGUCUCUAACUUAAAAAAAGAUAGAAAAAUUAGCUGGGCAUGGUAGUACACACUUGUAAUUCCAGGUACUUGGGAGGCUGAGGCAUGAGAAUUGCUUGAACCCAGGAGGCAGAGGUUGCAGUGAGCUGAGAUCACGCCACAGCACUCCAGCUUGGGUGACAGAGUGAGACUCUGUCUCAAAACAAACAAAAAAGCAAAAUCCCAUACAUAAAAAAGAUAUGCUUAAGAAGUGAGUGUACUUUUACCACGAUUUUCCUUUAUAUCUGGUAGCAAAUACAUGUUUUUUAAUCCAUGGAAACUGCAAAAAUCAGUUACAUGCAUAGCAACA